CGCGUGAGUGAUGAAGGUUUUCGGAUCGUAAAGCUCUGUUGUUAGGGAAGAACAAGUGCAAGAGUAACUGCUUGCACCUUGACGGUACCUAACCAGAAAGCCACGGCUAACUACGUGCCAGCAGCCGCGGUAAUACGUAGGUGGCAAGCGUUGUCCGGAAUUAUUGGGCGUAAAGGGCUCGCAGGCGGUUUCUUAAGUCUGAUGUGAAAGCCCCCGGCUCAACCGGGGAGGGUCAUUGGAAACUGGGAAACUUGAGUGCAGAAGAGGAGAGUGGAAUUCCACGUGUAGCGGUGAAAUGCGUAGAGAUGUGGAGGAACACCAGUGGCGAAGGCGACUCUCUGGUCUGUAACUGACGCUGAGGAGCGAAAGCGUGGGGAGCGAACAGGAUUAGAUACCCUGGUAGUCCACGCCGUAAACGAUGAGUGCUAAGUGUUAGGGGGUUUCCGCCCCUUAGUGCUGCAGCUAACGCAUUAAGCACUCCGCCUGGGGAGUACGGUCGCAAGACUGAAACUCAAAGGAAUUGACGGGGGCCCGCACAAGCGGUGGAGCAUGUGGUUUAAUUCGAAGCAACGCGAAGAACCUUACCAGGUCUUGACAUCCUCUGACAACCCUAGAGAUAGGGCUUUCCCUUCGGGGACAGAGUGACAGGUGGUGCAUGGUUGUCGUCAGCUCGUGUCGUGAGAUGUUGGGUUAAGUCCCGCAACGAGCGCAACCC
rnacentral:rRNA from 1 species